ensembl:lncRNA
CUGAAAUACAGAUGGCAGGACUGGGUGACCAGAAGGCCCUUCCUGGAAGCCUGUCCUCUCCUCUUUCCUUGCAGACGGUGUCUCGGUGCACCUCCCGCCAGAGGAGGACAGGCGGACGGACAUGCAGGUCCACCCGGAGGAAUGCCCGUGGGGCUCUUCUGAGUCCUCCGCUGAGCCGCACCAGGAUUCCUUCACGGAGAGUGAGGUUUCACUCCCGUCUUGCAGCCCUGAGGACUCCUCAGUAUAGCCCCGCAUGGACCCGCCUUCACCUCGUCCAGAGAGCGGAGCUGGAGCUGGCUGUGUGCACUCCACGGCACAAGGGCCCCUUAAGGAGUGUGCGGAUUCUUUUACCACUGCGCGACUUGGGAAGCCCCAGUCCUCAUUUUGGAGCUCCCCGAAGACUUGAGAAUACAGAAGCCUUGUCAGUCGUCAAGAAAUUCUGGGAUACGAGAGAUGGGACAUUUCCUGCCGUAUCAGUGAACAAAGGGCAUCACAGUCAAGAGCAAUGACGGCCACCACGGCUGCUGAGCUGGUGAGCCCUGAGGGCACUCGGAAGGAAAGGACACGGCCGUCUAGCAGCCAUCAGAUUGCUGCCACACUGAGGGUGAGCCCGGAGCGAACUCGGGAUGUGAAAACAGCAGGAUCCUGGCCCCAGACAGCUGAGGCGCGCAUCGGAGCAAUGAUUUCAGCGAGCCCAGACGCUUCCAUCUUCCCAUACGUAGAAAAGCGCUAAAUUCCUUAACUUGGGAUAGCGGGUUUUCUUUAAUUGGCGGUAGCGUUCGAGGUUCAGAUUAUCUGCCUUUUGUUGCGAAGCUUCUUUAUUACCUGCCCCCUCCCCUCGCCUCCUCUGAGCAGUUCUCUCGGGAUUACUUGGGAUGCUACUUCCCGGGCUUGAGUCCUAGGAAUAUCUGACGAAUAACACAAAACUCUCA